rnacentral:rRNA from 1 species
AAUGGGCGAAAGCCUGAUCCAGCCAUGCCGCGUGUGUGAAGAAGGUCUUCGGAUUGUAAAGCACUUUAAGUUGGGAGGAAGGGCUGCUGGUUAAUACCCUGCAGUUUUGACGUUACCAACAGAAUAAGCACCGGCUAACUUCGUGCCAGCAGCCGCGGUAAUACGAAGGGUGCAAGCGUUAAUCGGAAUUACUGGGCGUAAAGCGCGCGUAGGUGGUUGGGUAAGUUGAAUGUGAAAGCCCCGGGCUCAACCUGGGAACUGCAUCCAAAACUGCCCGACUAGAGUACGGUAGAGGGUGGUGGAAUUUCCUGUGUAGCGGUGAAAUGCGUAGAUAUAGGAAGGAACACCAGUGGCGAAGGCGACCACCUGGACUGAUACUGACACUGAGGUGCGAAAGCGUGGGGAGCAAA